rnacentral:rRNA from 1 species
AUUGAACGCUGGCGGCAGGCCUAACCCAUGCAAGUCGAGCGAGCGGCGGACGGGUGAGUAAUGUUUGGGACCUGCCCGAUAGAGGGGGAUAACCUCUGGAAACUGUCUCUAAUCCCGCAUACUAUCGGAUAACCCAUAUGGGUUUCGCUAGUAGGUGGGGUAAAGGCUCACCUAGGCGACGCUCUCUAGCUGGUCUGAGAGGAUGAUCAGCCACACGGGGACUGAGAAACGGCCCAGACUCCUACGGAGGCAGCAGUGGGGAAUAUUGCACAAUGGGCGCAAGCCUGAUGCAGCCAUGCGGCGUGUAUGAAGAAGGCCUUAGGGUUGUAAAGUACUUUCAGCGGGGAGGCGUUACCCGCAGAAGAAGCACCGGCUAACUCCGUGCCAGCAGCCGCGGUAAUAC